rnacentral:rRNA from 1 species
GACGAACGCUGGCGGCGUGCUUAACACAUGCAAGUCGAACGGAAAGGCCCUGCUUUUGUGGGGUGCUCGAGUGGCGAACGGGUGAGUAACACGUGAGUAACCUGCCCUUGAUUUUGGGAUAACUUCAGGAAACUGGGGCUAAUACCGGAUAGGAGCUCCUGCUGCAUGGUGGGGGUUGGAAAGUUUCGGCGGUUGGGGAUGGACUCGCGGCUUAUCAGCUUGUUGGUGGGGUAGUGGCUUACCAAGGCUUUGACGGGUAGCCGGCCUGAGAGGGUGACCGGCCACAUUGGGACUGAGAUACGGCCCAGACUCCUACGGGAGGCAGCAGUGGGGAAUAUUGCACAAUGGGCGGAAGCCUGAUGCAGCAACGCCGCGUGCGGGAUGACGGCCUUCGGGUUGUAAACCGCUUUCGCCUGUGACGAAGCGUGAGUGACGGUAAUGGGUAAAGAAGCACCGGCUAACUACG